rnacentral:rRNA from 1 species
AGUGAACGCUGGCGGUAGGCCUAACACAUGCAAGUCGAACGGCAGCACAGGAGAGCUUGCUCUCUGGGUGGCGAGUGGCGGACGGGUGAGGAAUACAUCGGAAUCUACUUUUUCGGGGGGGAUAACGUAGGGAAACUUACGCUAAUACCGCAUACGACCUACGGGUGAAAGCCGGGGACCUUCGGGCCUUGCGCGAUUGAACGAGCCGAUGUCGGAUUAGCUAGUUGGCGGGGUAAGAGCCCACCAAGGCGACGAUCCGUAGCUGGUCUGAGAGGAUGAUCAGCCACACUGGAACUGAGACACGGUCCAGACUCCUACGGGAGGCAGCAGUGGGGAAUAUUGGACAAUGGGCGCAAGCCUGAUCCAGCCAUACCGCGUGGGUGAAGAAGGCCUUCGGGUUGUAAAGCCCUUUUGUUGGGAAAGAAAUCCAGCUGGCUAAUACCCGGUUGGGAUGACGGUACCCAAAGAAUAAGCACCGGCUAACUUCGUGCCAGCCGCCGCGGUAA